UACGUAGGUGGCAAGCGUUGUCCGGAUUUACUGGGCGUAAAGAGCGCGCAGGCGGUCGAUUAAGUCGAAUGUGAAAGCCCCCGGCUCAACUGGGGAGGGUCAUUCGAUACUGAUCGACUUGAAGGCAGGAGAGAGAAGUGGAAUUCCCGGUGUAGUGGUGAAAUGCGUAGAUAUCUGGAGGAACACCGGUGGCGAAGGCGGCAUCCUGGACCGGUAUUGACGCUGAGGAGCGAAAGCCAGGGGAGCAAACGGG
rnacentral:rRNA from 1 species